AUCUAAAAAUAUAAUAAGUCUCAAUCAAGGUUAUACCAUUGAUUUAUGUCCAUCUUUUUGUAUGCUAAUAAAUGUAUACAUUUUACUUUAAAUGUUGUACACUUCAAUGUUAUUAGACAAAAUUAUAAAAACUUAAUAAGUUUAAA